rnacentral:rRNA from 1 species
AGAGUUUGAUCCUGGCUCAGGAUGAACGCUGGCGGCGUGCUUAACACAUGCAAGUCGAACGAUGACUUUUGUGCUUGCACAAAAUGAUUAGUGGCGAACGGGUGAGUAACACGUGAGUAACCUGCCCUUAACUUCGGGAUAAGCCUGGGAAACCGGGUCUAAUACCGGAUACGACGGAUUCCCGCAUGGGGGUCCGUGGAAAGCUUGAUGCGGUUUUGGAUGGACUCGCGGCCUAUCAGCUAGUUGGUUGGGGUAAUGGCCCACCAAGGCGACGACGGGUAGCCGGCCUGAGAGGGUGACCGGCCACACUGGGACUGAGACACGGCCCAGACUCCUACGGGAGGCAGCAGUGGGGAAUAUUGCACAAUGGGCGAAAGCCUGAUGCAGCGACGCCGCGUGAGGGACGAAGGCCUUCGGGUUGUAAACCUCUUUCAGCAGGGAAGAAGCGAAAGUGACGGUACCUGCAGAAGAAGCGCCGGCUAACUACGUGCCAGCAGCCGCGGUAAUACGUAGGGCGCAAGCGUUAUCCGGAAUUAUUGGGCGUAAAGAGCUCGUAGGCGGUUUGUCGCGUCUGCUGUGAAAGCCCGGGGCUCAACCCCGGGUCUGCAGUGGGUACGGGCAGACUAGAGUGCAGUAGGGGAGACUGGAAUUCCUGGUGUAGCGGUGAAAUGCGCAGAUAUCAGGAGGAACACCGAUGGCGAAGGCAGGUCUCUGGGCUGUAACUGACGCUGAGGAGCGAAAGCAUGGGGAGCAAACAGGAUUAGAUACCCUGGUAGUCCAUGCCGUAAACGUUGGGCACUAGGUGUGGGGGACAUUCCACGUUUUCCGCGCCGUAGCUAACGCAUUAAGUGCCCCGCCUGGGGAGUACGGCCGCAAGGCUAAAACUCAAAGGAAUUGACGGGGGCCCGCACAAGCGGCGGAGCAUGUGGUUUAAUUCGAGGCAACGCGAAGAACCUUACCAGGUCUUGACAUCCCGGUGACCACUAUGGAGACAUAGUUUCCCCUUCGGGGGCAACGGUGACAGGUGGUGCAUGGUUGUCGUCAGCUCGUGUCGUGAGAUGUUGGGUUAAGUCCCGCAACGAGCGCAACCCUUAUUCUUAGUUGCCAUCAUUCAGUUGGGCACUCUAAGGAGACUGCCGGUGAUAAACCGGAGGAAGGUGGGGAUGACGUCAAAUCAUCAUGCCCCUUAUGACCUGGGCUACACACGUGCUACAAUGGACGGUACAAACGGUUGCCAACCCGCGAGGGGGAGCUAAUCCGAUAAAACCGUUCUCAGUUCGGAUUGUAGGCUGCAACUCGCCUACAUGAAGCCGGAAUCGCUAGUAAUCGCGGAUCAGCAUGCCGCGGUGAAUACGUUACCGGGCCUUGCACUCACCGCCCGUCAAG